UCACGCGCCGCAGGCCCCGCCCCGCUCGCCCCUCCGCGCUGCACUGCGGUGCCCGAGGCCCCGCCCCGGGCGAUGACGUCAAUGCUCGGGCCCUGCCCCGGCUCCCUGGGCAGGUGGGGGCACGGAAAGGAAGUUGAGGAGCCAGUGUUCUAACCCCCGUGGUGCCAAUUAUCUCCAUGGCCUCUAGUAAGCAGGGCACGGAGAGUCACUUGAACAAGCUCAGACAAGAAUCAGCAAGGAAUAGCAUCUGCAGCUGUACCUCGGCCUGUCUGCUCUGCUCCAUGCGUCGAUAUCCGCAUAUGGCAAGUCGUAGGGAACUUUGCUGCCUAUGAAGCAAGUGGUGACAGGAACCUGGACUUACUGGUUUUAAGAACUGGAAUAUUCACUUGGAAACCACUGCAAACAACAGAGAUGCUGUUUGAUCUGUACCUUAUAGUACAGCACUGAGAUGCUAGUCUGAGGAGACAGGAUCUUAGAAAGAGUCAACAGCCUUGGGAGACUACAGGAGUAGUUUUGUCAGCUUUAUACAAACCAAAGACACCUGGAAAGAGGAGACCUCGGAUUAUGGGCAUGUCUGAGAGACAUUUGGUUGACUGCAGUUGAUGGAGAGGAGCCUGAUCCACUGUGGGUGGCGCCAUCCAUAAGCCUACAGGCCUGCAUUGCAUAAGAAGGGUAAUCAGACUGGGAACAAACCAGUAAGGGGCAUUCCUCCACAAUCUCUGCUUCAGUUGCUGCCUCCAGGUUCCUGAGUUGAGUCCCUACCGUGGCUUCCCUCCUUGAUGGACUGUAACCUGAGACGCCAAGACAGCAGAGGUUAAGUUCUCCCUUCUGUAUGAGGUGCGUGGACCUGUGACGUAAGAACGCAGACGCGGCGCUCUCUGCUUGCCUGCCUGCUUGGGUGCUGCAAACCUGAUCUUUUGGAGAAACUUGGACUCGCGCUGGAUUGUCUCUGGGCCCCUACUCAGCAGCACUCCUUUUCCUUCAGUUUUGAAUCCCUAAAUGUCAUUCUCUAAUGUCCUUCCAGUGUGGUUUAUGCCACACUGCCAGGGACAGUUUGUCCAUGAGGAAAUCCUUUCUGAAAUCUUAAUGUUGAAAAUAAAACACACUGUAA